rnacentral:rRNA from 1 species
UACAGAGGGUGCAAGCGUUGUUCGGAAUUAUUGGGCGUAAAGCGCGUGUAGGCGGCUUUGCAAGUCGGGUGUGAAAGCCCUCGGCUCAACCGAGGAAGUGCGCCCGAAACUGCAGAGCUUGAGUGCCGGAGAGGAUGGCGGAAUUCCCCAAGUAGAGGUGAAAUUCGUAGAUAUCAGGAGGAACACCGGUGGUGUAGACGGCUUUCUGGACCGUAACUGACGCUGAAACACGAAAGCGUGGGUAGCAAACAGG